rnacentral:rRNA from 1 species
AUAGAGGCCUACCAUGGUGGUAACGGGUAACGGGGUGUUAGGGCACGACACCGGAGAGGGAGCCUGAGAAACGGCUACCACAUCCAAGGAUGGCAGCAGGCGCGCAAAUUACCCAAUCCCGACACGGGGAGGUAGUGACAAUAAAUAACAAUACGGGGUUCUUUCGGAUCUCGUAAUUGGAAUGAGUACAAUUUAAAUCUCUUAACGAGGAACAAUUGGAGGGCAAGUCUGGUGCCAGCAGCCGCGGUAAUUCCAGCUCCAAUAGCGUAUAUUAAAGUUGUUGCAGUUAAAAAGCUCGUAGUUGAAUUUCGGGGUUAGUAGGUUGGUCAUGCCUCUGGUAUGUACUGAUCUCACUGAUUCCUCCUUCCUGAUGAACCGUAAUGCCAUUAAUUUGGUGUUGCGGGGAAUUUGGACUGUUACUUUGAAAAAAUUAGAGUGUUUAAAGCAAGCUAACGCUUGAAUACAUUAGCAUGGAAUAAUGAAAUAGGACGUUCGAUCCUAUUUUGUUGGUUUCUAGGAUUGACGUAAUGGUUAAUAGGGAUAGUUGGGGGCAUUAGUAUUCAAUUGUCAGAGGUGAAAUUCUUGGAUUUAUUGAAGACUAACUACUGCGAAAGCAUUUGCCAAGGAUGUUUUCAUUAAUCAAGGACGAAAGUUAGGGGAUCGAAGACGAUCAGAUACCGUCGUAGUCUUAACCAUAAACUAUGCCGACUAGGGAUCGGAUG